rnacentral:lncRNA from 1 species
AGAGAAUUUUAUGCAUAAAGAAUUGCCUGUUUUAAUCUGAAUUCUCUUCACAGGAGAAAAAUACAUCUCUGAGAAUAACAGCCUGGAAAAUACAUCGGAGCUGUGCUGAUGGACCAGAGCAGCCAGGCCACUGGCAAUCAAAGAAAGCAGCAGCAGGUGAUCAGAAUAUUCCCAGAGAUAAUUACAACUGAGAAAAAAAAAGAAAAAAAAACAACAACUGUCCAAUGCUGUCUCCAUGGCAAACAGACAGGAGUGCCUCAGUUCUCAGUCCACUGACCUCGUUGCUACAAGGUCGUGUGCUGACUGCUGAGCUGCAAAGCUGUGCCUCCUCAAAGGUCUGCUCUGUCCAUCUCUUCUGUCCUGUGAGCCACUGACCUCCACAUCAAUGGCAGCUGAACAUUAAUGUGAUGAACAAUGCUUUACUUCCAGACAGCCUGCCGCAUGGCUUGGGAGGUAGGGAAAGGGUGAGCUGGGUUUGCAAUCCUGCACUGGGGAGGAGCCAUCCCUCCCACUUGCCUUGCCAUUAAAUUUGCUGGGCCAGAAAAGAUAGAUGCUGAUGCCUCUUGUAUCUAUGCUUUAAAACAGAGAACUAACAAAUCUGGCUGUUGCACAUUGGGCAUGAUUCAAAAUGGGGUUAGGCUGCAGUCAAGUUUCCAGCUGCUCAAGCUAGCUUACAUGCAAGGAUACAGCACAAGAGCAAAGGGAGAGAAGGGGUGAGCAACUGAGGUUUCAGAACUAAGCAGAGUCUGAUCAGUCCUGGCUGAAGUCAGGCUGCAACUCUGAACACUGUAUCAAGGUUGCACUACUGUAUUAUUUUAUAUUAUUUACUGGUGGUCUUCAUCAGCUUCAUCAGCAUAGCACACAGUUAUAGGAAUGUAUAUACAUACAUAUUUGCAGGCAGGUGUAGCUUCAGAAAAGCAUGAAC